rnacentral:rRNA from 1 species
CACGUAGGGCGCAAGCGUUGUCCGGAAUUAUUGGGCGUAAAGAGCUCGUAGGCGGUUUGUCGCGUCUGGUGUGAAAAUCCAGGGCUUAACCCUGGACCUGCAUCGGGUACGGGCAGACUAGAGUGCGGUAGGGGAGAUCGGAAUUCCUGGUGUAGCGGUGAAAUGCGCAGAUAUCAGGAGGAACACCGGUGGCGAAGGCGGAUCUCUGGGCCGUAACUGACGCUGAGGAGCGAAAGCAUGGGGAGCGAACAGG